rnacentral:misc_RNA from 1 species
GAUGAAGAACGUAGCAAAAUGCGAUACUUGGUGUGAAUUGCAGAAUCCCGUGAACCAUCGAGUUUUUGAACGCAAGUUGCGCCCGAAGCCUUUUGGCCGAGGGCACGUCUGCCUGGGCGUCACGCAUCGCGUCGCCCCCCACAAUUCUCCGUAAAAGGAACAUGUGUUUUGGGGGCGGAUAUUGGUCUCCCGUGCUCAUGGCGUGGUUGGCCGAAAUAGGAGUCCUUUCGAUGGACGCACGAACUAGUGGUGGUCGUAAAAACCCUCGUCUUUUGUUUCGUGCUGUUGCCCGCAAGGUAAACUCUUUAAAAACCCCAAUGUGUCGUCUCUUGACGACGCUUCGACCGCGACCCCAGGUCAGGCGGGACUACCCGCUGAGUUUAAGCAUAUCAAUAAGCGGAGGA